rnacentral:tRNA from 1 species
GCCAGGGUGGUGAAAUCGGUAAACACAGCGGACUUAAAAUCCGCCGCCGCGAGGCUUGGGGGUUCGAAUCCCCUCCCUGGGCACCA